GGAGGAGCUCCAGGUGGAGAUGAGCGACAGGUGAGGUGGGAGGAGCACCAGGUGGAGAUGAGCGACAGGUGAGGUGGGAGGAGCUCCAGGUGGAGAUAAGCGACAGGUGCAGGAUGGAUUCAUCUUUUUUAUUUUUUUUUUUUAUCGCUAUGCUGCCAAAAAGUACGAAACAACCUGGAGAUUCCAGUGUGAACGUUUGGGUUUGACACAACUUGAAAUAAAAGAGUUAAAAUAAAUGGAAUUCUUUUCCAAUAAAGACUUUGUUUUUGGACUCAAACUUGGAGAACUUUUAUUCCUUAACCAGUCAACACUUUAGCUUUAACUUUGAGAAAAAUAUACUUAAAGCCAAUCAUUUAUAAAACAAAAAGAAAUGAUUGUGAAAGAAAAAAAUCAACAAUUUCAGAGAAUAAAGAUGUUAAUUUCGGAUUUCCGGGCCGCGCUACAGGAGCAGCUUCCUGUUCUGAAGUCAUGUCAAUGGCCCCGCCCCCUCAGUCACCUGACCGCGUCUUCAUAUCUCACAGAAUGAAACCGAUUCCACUCAGCCGUCUGGAGCUGCUGCUCCUCUGGAUUAAACCCACCCUCGUUUGGGAGGAUUUCAAACCUCCUAUUAGCUGGAAACGAAAGCACAAAAAAAAGAAAAUAA